AGAGUUUGAUCCUGGCUCAGAUUGAACGCUGGCGGCAGGCCUAACACAUGCAAGUCGAACGGUAACAUUUCUAGCUUGCUAGAAGAUGACGAGUGGCGGACGGGUGAGUAAUGCUUGGGAACUUGCCUUUGCGAGGGGGAUAACAGUUGGAAACGACUGCUAAUACCGCAUAAUGUCUUCGGACCAAACGGGGCUUAGGCUCCGGCGCAAAGAGAGGCCCAAGUGAGAUUAGCUAGUUGGUAAGGUAACGGCUUACCAAGGCGACGAUCUCUAGCUGUUCUGAGAGGAAGAUCAGCCACACUGGGACUGAGACACGGCCCAGACUCCUACGGGAGGCAGCAGUGGGGAAUAUUGCACAAUGGGGGAAACCCUGAUGCAGCCAUGCCGCGUGUGUGAAGAAGGCCUUCGGGUUGUAAAGCACUUUCAGUUGUGAGGAAAAGUUAGUAGUUAAUACCUGCUAGCCGUGACGUUAACAACAGAAGAAGCACCGGCUAACUCCGUGCCAGCAGCCGCGGUAAUACGGAGGGUGCGAGCGUUAAUCGGAAUUACUGGGCGUAAAGCGCACGCAGGCGGUUUGUUAAGCUAGAUGUGAAAGCCCCGGGGCUCAACCUGGGAUGGUCAUUUAGAACUGGCAGACUAGAGUCUUGGAGAGGGGGA
rnacentral:rRNA from 1 species